rnacentral:lncRNA from 1 species
UUGGAGAAAAUUAUAGGAAGCUUUCUAGUGUUAUUGGAAUUCUAUCACGGAAAAUGUUGCCGGUUGGAUGCUCUGAUUGGAGGCUUGUGGAUGCUAAAAAGAAGAUGGCACUUUGGGAUGAAAUAAAGGUACUAUCUAUAUAUUGUUAUGAUAUUUGUGUGGUAUUUGUGCCAUUGCUCUUCAUGUCUUCUUCCAUACUGAUUGAAUUAUUUUCUUGCCUUUCUAGAA